GCGCAGGUAGUCUACCGGAUAGGCAUCCGUUUACGAAGCGGCUCUAAGGUGGUUCGAUUCCACUCCUGCGCG
rnacentral:tRNA from 1 species